rnacentral:rRNA from 1 species
UACGAGGGGGGCGAGCGUUGUUCGGAAUUAUUGGGGGUAAAGGGUGCGUAGGCGGUUUGGUAAGUCUUAUGUGAAAUCUAUGGGCUCAACUCAUAGUCUGCAUGAGAAACUGCCGGGCUUGAGUAUGGGAGAGGUGAGUGGAAUUCCUGGUGUAGCGGUGAAAUGCGUAGAUAUCAGGAGGAACACCUGUGGCGAAAGCGGCUCACUGGACCAUAACUGACGCUGAUGCACGAAAGCUAGGGGAGCAAACAGG